GACGUAGGUGGCGAACGUUAUCCGGAAUUAUUGGGCGUAAAGGGUGCGUAGGUGGCCUGACAAGUUAUCAGUGGCAAAUCGAGGCUCAACCUCGUGGAAACUGGUAAUACUGUUCGGCUUGAGUACAGGAGAGGUUAACGGAACUCUAUGUGGAGCGGUAAAAUGCACAGAUAUAUAGAAAGAACAUCAAUAAAAGGCGAAGGCAGUUAACUAUUCUGUUUACUGACACUGAGGCACGAAAGCGUGGGGAGCAAAACGG
rnacentral:rRNA from 1 species